rnacentral:sRNA from 14 species
GUAAUUAUGGUAAUAUGCAGAAGUGAGCAAGUUGGAUAGAUGGUGGCUAUCUGAGUAUAAGGAGGUGGUGCCUAUGGUGGCAUUACUGAAAUCUUUAGAAAGGAGACGCCUAAUGAUUACAAUUAGUACCAUGUUGCAGUUUGGUUUAUUCCUUAUUGCAUUGAUAGGUCUAGUAAUCAA